CCGGCCGCAGAGGCUGCACAAGGCGCGGUUCUCAGCCAGCAGCGUCUGCCACAGCAGGCUGCCUCUAAAAUCAUAACACGUAAAAGUUCUAAGUGAUGUUUGUCUGUCUCAGAAGUGCAAAUGUGACAUUUGCCCCUGGCUGCAGUCAUGGUGUGGGUGAAAAGAGCAGAGGGGCAUCCAAGAGUGACAAGAAUUGCUUUCUGUCAUCAUCAAGGCUGCGUCAGCUCACGCUGUGGUCAGAUCCCUCUUGUACUGGUCCCAGAAGAGAAAGACUAUGACAUUAUUGCUCCUCAGGAAGAGGUGAAGCCCUCUCACCCCCAAUAUGCAUCAAUGUCAGAAUCAGGAAGCAGAUGAGAGGUACACAGCCCCCUGAGAAGCAGUGCUUGACACAGGCUACUGUAAUAGGUGUCCACCCAUCUGAAUCCUACUGCCCAGCACUCAGCUCAGAUGGAACAAGAGGCUGCCAGACGAGAGGUAGGCAAGGUGGCACAGACUCAACUGUCACCCUAACUGUAUUUCUCACCCUACCAUAACCUUCGUUACUGACAUGGUCAAAAAGGAAACAGAGGCUGCGGCAAUGGCAGCAGCAGCAACAGUGAAAGCAACCAAGAGAGAAGGCAGCUGGCACUGGAGGGCAUCGUGCCAGGUUCCAGGCACAGAGGGAUUCUGGCAGUGAUUACAGCGGUAAAUAGAGCUGAUGGUUGUGCCGGGACCCUAGGCCCUGCCAGGAAGGGAGCAGGGGAGAUGAGAUUCUUAUAAUUACACUCGUUUAGACUCAGCCAUCAUGGGGUUACCCACAGAGGACUCUGAUCUGUCCCCAGGCUGGGAGUUGCAGAAGCACCUGUUACAGCAGAAGUCAUUUGGCAAGCCAAACAAAAUGCGGAUUCAUCCAGGCCACCUGUAAAGGAAUUUAAUGCCUAACAACCUAUGCAAAGCUUCUAAUUGUCAUAAUUAAUUUGGCAUCUAUUCACUGGUAGGUGCUAAACAAGUACCAUAUGGUGAAAGCCCAUUUCCUGCUAACGUGGUUUAAUCCCCCACAUAAUUAAAGCUGUGAGAAAUUGUGUCAUUUGAAAAACCCAAGCACAAUAUUUUCCUCACAAAACUGUUUUUAGUGUCUCUUCUUUUGGCCCUCUCUCUCCCACUAUUGUUAUGAACAUCUUACUUUCUUCAUUUUAUCCAGCUACUGCUUCCCCGAUGCAUAAUUUAGGUUAUAAUUAUUUUCUCAUUUUCCCCUCCAGCUGGCACCAGUUUGAUCGCUCCCAUUUCAUAGAUCUUUACAAUGUCACACUGUUGCUCCAGCUUAUUUAGAAAUCCUGGAAAGAGGGGAAGUGGAGAUUGCAGGGCAGCCUCAGCCCUCAGAAAAGUUUCUCUGCUUUCUCAUGUGUCCCAGCUGACAGGAUGCCAGGCCAGCAAGCUAAUGACCAACAGCUGAGCGCCAUGGCAAAGAACGAUAUAAAGACAAUCAUCUGGCUUCUGCUACUUUACAAACAAAAGGCAAGAGAUAGCAUACUGGAGAGAAAACAAAAUAAAAACUUUUAAUAAUGAUAGUGUCCCAUGUAUCAAUCUCCCAUUGUAUUUCCACAUUGCACAGUUAAUAUCAGAGGCCACCUCCACUGACUCAGACUUCCAUAAACAAGACACUUUGGACACAAAGGAGUUUCUCGUUCUGUUUCUGUAUCUGUCGCCUCUAAAAAAUACAGUGAUCCAAAGUUCAUCACUAAAAGAUGUGGGGAAAAAGUGGUGAUCAAAACUUUGCAAUACAAUAAUGGACCUUUUUAAAUCUAAAAAUGUGAAAAUCAAUGCAUCAAUUUUCAUACUUUCUCUUUUAAAUUUUCUUUCUUUUGAUCCCCAAUAUAUUAUCAGUAUAAUCAAAUGACAUUAGUAUUAACCAACAUCAGCAGUCUGUAUUCUGUAAGGAAUUGAGCUCAUACAAUGAAUCACCUCGAGUAUUUUUUAAACACAAAAUUACAACAAUUUAUAAAUGUUAAUCUUUAAAAUGCACUUGAGAAUGAUUGUCCCAAAGGUUAAGUGGAAGCUUUUUCAAAAAACAGAUCACAAGGAACUAUGCCAACCCUUUCCUAAAAAUUUCUAUAAAAUUCAAAGGAAGAAAUAAACAGGAAAUCUAGUUUACAAAUGAAAUUUAAUAUAGUAGUCGUAUAUUUAUAGGCCAAGAGCUCAUACGUAAAAUGUGUGAAGGAACACAAUGGUCAGAUAUUGAGAUGCUGGCAACUGCUCAUCUGCCAAUGCUGAAUUUGAUAAUUCUCAGAUCCUCACACACAUAAAACAACUUGC
rnacentral:lncRNA from 1 species